UACGUAGGGUGCAAGCGUUGUCCGGAAUUAUUGGGCGUAAAGAGCUCGUAGGCGGCCUGCUAAGUCGAACGUGAAAUCCCUGGGCUCAACCCAGGAACUGCGUCCGAUACUGGUUGGCUUGAAUCCGGGAGAGGGAUGUGGAAUUCCAGGUGUAGCGGUGAAAUGCGUAGAUAUCUGGAGGAACACCGGUGGCGAAGGCGACAUCCUGGACCGGUAUUGACGCUGAGGCGCGAAAGCCAGGGGAGCAAACGGG
rnacentral:rRNA from 1 species